GGCCUAUUAGCUUAGUUGGUUAUAGCAUCAUGUUAAUAACGCGAAGGUUGCAGGUUCGAGACCUGCAUGGGCCA